UUAAGAUAAAGGUUUCCCCUGACGUUAAGUCCAGUCAUGUCUGACUCUGGGGGUUGGUGCUCAUCUCCAUUUCUAGGCCGAAGAGCCGGCAUUGUCCGUAGACACCUCCAAGCAUGUGGCCAGCAUGACUGCAUGGAGCGCCGUUAUCUUCCCGCCGGAGCAGUACCUAUUGAUCUACUCACAUUGGCAUGUUUUCGAACUGCUAGGUUGGCAGAAGCUGGAGCAACAGCGGGCGCUCACUCCGCUCCCGGGAUUUGAACCUGGGACCUUUCGGUCUGCAAGUUCAGCAGCUUAGUGCUUUAACACACUUCGCCACUGGGGCUCCUUUCGAAAACCUUUACCUGUUGCCAAAUUUUCAUGACCCCAACAUUGAGCUAAGGUCCUACAGCACUUACCAAUCACCUCUGGGCAGUGAAUGGCCAUGGCAGCACAUUGUAGGCUCUAGAACACAGGAGCUAUUGUACAGAAAGAUAUUGAAUAUCUCCUUCUGCAACUACCAUGCAGGAAAAGCACAAUCAAAGCACCCCUGACAGAUGGCCAUCCAGCCUCUGUUUAAAAGCCUCCAAGGAAGGCUUGGUUCCCUCGAGGAGAUAGGGUGUGUUAUUAUUAUUAUUAUUAUUAUUAUUAUUAUUAUUAUUAUUAUUGACACAUCGACAUUGUAUGACACAGCAAACAAGAUAGAUAUGCUGGAUUUCGUAUCACAAAAUCACAAGUCGAACACUUCCCAAGUUUCUAGGACUGUGUGAUGUAUUUUCGGAUGAUGCGAGCAGAUCCCAGUAGGGUGGCCUUUUGCAGUUGGCAGAUCGUAAUUUUGCCAAUGUCUAUUGUUUCCAAAUGCCGGCUGAGAUCUUUUGGUACGGCACCCAAUGUGCUGAUCACCACCGGGACCACCUGCACUGGUUUCUGCCAGAGUCUUUGAAGUUCAAUCUUGAGGUCCUGAUAGCGGCUGAGUUUUUCCUGUUGUUUUUCAUCUAUGCGACUGUCACCUGGGAUGGCAACAUCAAUGAUCCAAACCUUGUUCUUUUCCAGAACUGUGAUGUCUGGUGUGUUGUGUUCCAGAACUUUGUCAGUCUGGAUUCGGAAGUCCCACAGUAUCUUUGCAUGUUCAUUUUCCAAUACUUUUGCAGGUUUGUGAUCCCACCAGUUCUUUGCUGCUGGGAGGUGGUACUUGAGGCAUAAGUUCCAAUGAAUCACUUGGGCCACAUAGUUGUGCCUCUGUUUGUAGUCUGUCUGUGCGAUUUUCUUACAGCAGCUGAGGAUAUGAUCAAUGGUUUCAUCGGUUUCCUUGCACAGUCUGCAUUUUGGGUCAUCAGCUGAUUUUUUGAUCUUGGCCUUAAUUGCAUUUGUUCUGAUGGCUUGCUCCUGGGCUGCAAGGAUCAGGCCUUCUGUCUCCUUCUUCAGGGUCCCAUUCGUGAGCCAGAGCCAGGUCUUCUCCUUAUCAGCUUUUCCUUCAAUUUUGUCAAGGAAUUAUUAUUAUUAUUAUUAUUAUUAUUAUUAUUAUUAUUAUUAUAUUGUAUGACAGCAAACAAGAUAGAUAUGCUGGAUUUCGUAUCACAAAAUCACAUUAUUAUGAUUAUUAUUAACAUUGAGGCUGGGUGGCCAUCUGUCAGGAGUGCUUUGCUUGUGCUUUUGGAGCACAAAGGCAGAAGGAGAUUGGACUCAAUGGCCCAAGGGGUCUCUUCCAACCCUCUUUUUUAUUAUUGUUGUUGUUGUUGUUGUUUUUAUUAUUCAUUAUUAUUAUUAUUAUUAAUGUAUGAAACAGCAAACAAGAUAGAUAUGCUGGAUUUCGUAUAACAAAAUCACAAGUCGAACAGUUCCCAAGUGUCUAGGACUGUGUGAUGUAUUUAUUAUUAUGAUUAUUAUUAACAUUGAGGCUGGGUGGCCAUCUGUCAGGGGUGCUUUGCUUGUGCUUUCAGUGCACAAAAGCAGAAGGGGGUUGGACUAAAUGGCCCAAAGGCUCUCUUCCAACCCUCUUUUUUAUUAUUACUAUUAUUGUUAUUUUAUUAUUAUUAUUAUUAUUAUUGUAUGACACAGCAAACAAGAUGCAUAUGCUGGAUUUCAUAUAACAAAAUCACAAGUCGAACACUUCCCAAGUGUCUAGGACCGUGUGAUUAUUAUUAUUAUUAUUAUUAUUAUUAUUAUUAUUAUUAUUAUUAUAUUGCUUGGUGGCCAACUAUAGUC
ensembl:lncRNA